UGGGGAAUAUUGCACAAUGGGCGCAAGCCUGAUGCAGCCAUGCCGCGUGUAUGAAGAAGGCCUUCGGGUUGUAAAGUACUUUCAGUCGGGAGGAAGGUGGUAAGGUUAAUAACCUUAUCAAUUGACGUUACCCGCAGAAGAAGCACCGGCUAACUCCGUGCCAGCAGCCGCGGUAAUACGGAGGGUGCAAGCGUUAAUCGGAAUUACUGGGCGUAAAGCGCACGCAGGCGGUUUGUUAAGUCAGAUGUGAAAUCCCCGGGCUCAACCUGGGAACUGCAUCUGAUACUGGCAAGCUUGAGUCUCGUAGAGGGGGGUAGAAUUCCAGGUGUAGCGGUGAAAUGCGUAGAGAUCUGGAGGAAUACCGGUGGCGAAGGCGGCCCCCUGGACGAAGACUGACGCUCAGGUGCGAAAGCGUGGGGAGCAAACAGG
rnacentral:rRNA from 1 species